CGGCCCAGACUCCUACGGGAGGCAGCAGUGGGGAAUAUUGCACAAUGGGGGAAACCCUGAUGCAGCCAUGCCGCGUGUGUGAAGAAGGCCUUCGGGUUGUAAAGCACUUUCAGCGAGGAGGAAAGGUUGAUGCCUAAUACGUAUCAACUGUGACGUUACUCGCAGAAGAAGCACCGGCUAACUCCGUGCCAGCAGCCGCGGUAAUACGGAGGGUGCAAGCGUUAAUCGGAAUUACUGGGCGUAAAGCGCACGCAGGCGGUUGGAUAAGUUAGAUGUGAAAGCCCCGGGCUCAACCUGGGAAUUGCAUUUAAAACUGUCCAGCUAGAGUCUUGUAGAGGGGGGUAGAAUUCCAGGUGUAGCGGUGAAAUGCGUAGAGAUCUGGAGGAAUACCGGUGGCGAAGGCGGCCCCCUGGACAAAGACUGACGCUCAG
rnacentral:rRNA from 1 species